CGCCGUGGACGAACACGGGGCCAAGAUCCCGGAUGAGUUUGACAGCGACCCCUUUGGGAUCCGGCACCUCCGACGGACCUACAAGUACUUCAAGGACUACAGGCAGAUGAUCAUCGAGCCCACGAGUGCGAAGCUGC